rnacentral:rRNA from 1 species
GACGAACGCUGGCGGCGUGCUUAACACAUGCAAGUCGAACGGGAAGGCCCUGCUUUUGUGGGGUGCUCGAGUGGCGAACGGGUGGGUAACACGUGAGUAACCUGCCCUUGACUUUGGGAUAACUUCAGGAAACUGGGGCUAAUACUGGAUAGGAGCUCCUGCUGCAUGGUGGGGGUUGGAAAGUUUCGGCGGUUGGGGAUGGACUCGCGGCUUAUCAGCUUGUUGGUGGGGUAGUGGCUUACCAAGGCUUUGACGGGUAGCCGGCCUGAGAGGGUGACCGGCCACAUUGGGACUGAGAUACGGCCCAGACUCCUACGGGAGGCAGCAGUGGGGAAUAUUGCACAAUGGGCGGAAGCCUGAUGCAGCAACGCCGCGUGCGGGAUGACGGCCUUCGGGUUGUAAACCGCUUUCGCCUGUGACGAAGCGUGAGUGACGGUAAUGGGUAAAGAAGCACCGGCUAACUACGUG